AUUGAACGCUGGCGGCAGGCCUAACACAUGCAAGUCGAGCGGAUGAAGGGAGCUUGCUCCUGGAUUCAGCGGCGGACGGGUGAGUAAUGCCUAGGAAUCUGCCUGGUAGUGGGGGAUAACGUCCGGAAACGGGCGCUAAUACCGCAUACGUCCUGUGGGAGAAAGUGGGGGAUCUUCGGACCUCACGCUAUCAGAUGAGCCUAGGUCGGAUUAGCUAGUUGGUGGGGUAUAGGCCUACUAAGGCGACGAUCCGUAGCUGGUCUGAGAGGAUGAUCAGUCACACUGGAACUAAGACACGGUCCAGACUCCUACGGGGGGCAGCAGUGGGGAAUAUUGGACAAUGGGCGGAAGCCGGAUCCAGCCAUGCCGCGUGUGUGAAGAAGGUCUUCGGAUUGUAAAGCACUUUAAGUUGGGAGGAAGGGCAGUAAGUUAAUACCGUGCUGUUUUGACGUUACCAACAGAAUAAGCACCGGCUAACUUCGUG
rnacentral:rRNA from 1 species